rnacentral:rRNA from 1 species
UACGAAGGGUGCUAGCGUUGUUCGGAAUCACUGGGCGUAAAGCGCGCGUAGGCGGCUAUUCAAGUCAGGGGUGAAAUCCUGGGGCUCAACCCCAGAACUGCCUCUGAAACUGGGUAGCUAGAGUGUCGGAGGGGAUAGCGGAAUUCCUAAUGUAGAGGUGAAAUUCGUAGAUAUUAGGAGGAACACCGGUGGCGAAGGCGGCUAUCUGGACGACAACUGACGCUGAGGCGCGAAAGCGUGGGGAUCAAACAGG